CCAACAGUUUCAGGAUUGUUGAGCUCCAUUGGCGGGAUUUCGCCGUCUUCGUUUCUCUUUCUUCGCGGACGAACACGCGCCAGGGGCUGAGCGCUGUGCGAUGCAUCGACUUCAGGUCGGGUGCGCGCCGGCAUGUCUCUCGUGUUAGGGGCUUGUAGCUCAGUUGGUUAGAGCGCGCGCUUGAUAAGCGUGAGGUCGGAAGUUCAAGUCUUCCCAGGCCCACCAUUUUGAUCGAGUGCGGAGCAUUCGUCUUCUGGUACGGGGCCAUAGCUCAGCUGGGAGAGCGCGUGCUUUGCAAGCAUGAGGUCGUCGGUUCGAUCCCGUCUGGCUCCACCAGAUGGAAUUGAAGCUCGAGAAUACACUGCUUGGCAGGCUCUGUUCAUUUCGUCCGCGAAACAUCACUUCGCACUCAUUGGUCCGGAUGGACGGUGACGUGCGUGUUUUCUGACAUCGUAAAGAGGAGAUCGAUCCGAGUUUGGAUCUGCGAAGCAAUUCGCGGGUACCAUUCCUAAUCUCCAGAUCGUUUUCGGCGCUCGUUCACUGCCGCUCAUCGCAAGAUGAGAGAGGUGAGCGAGUUGUAAAACGAUCUUUGUAGCGAAGCUUGACCGCCUCGCUAUCGGGCCGAUCUUACGAAGCAAGCUGGUCUUUCUAGUCAAUGUCCGGCUGCGCAAUCGCAUUCAUCGAGGAUGCGCGCCUUCAGUGGCAAUUGUGCAGACAACAUUCUGCCGAGUGUGUGGACAUUGAUAAUGAGAGC
rnacentral:tRNA from 1 species